rnacentral:lncRNA from 11 species
AGCGCGCCAAGAAGGAGAGCGAGCUGCCCCUUCCUUUGUGCGACUUUCCCUUUCUCUCUUUCAAGGAGGCGGGGAAAGUUGGGGAAAGUUUUUUCCCAGCUUGCCAAAGUUCCUUGGUGGAGAAAGAGAGACAGAGAAGGCUCGGAGGGGUUCAGGUAAGGGAUCCAGGAGCCCAGUUCUGCAAAGGGGAGGAUCCUGGUGUGGAUCCAGGUGAGAAGGGAGGAGGAAGAACACCAGGAGGAAGAGGAGGAGACUGGGAGACUCCAGGAGCAGCCAGGCAGCGUCCACACCAAGGUUUCGGCACCAGAUUGGACCUCACUCCCUCUUUCCUCACCACUGGUCAAGCCUUUGAUGUUUUCACAUGUGGUUCUGAUUUCUUUUUUCCUUGCAGGCUUCCUCACCAACGCUUCCGACCCACCAUGGCGAAGGACGAUGGGUGCUGCAACCUGUGUGCCACCUGCUUGCUGUGUUUCUACAGCUGUCGCUGGAGGCGCAGCGGGAAGGGCCUGGCCACCAGCAAAGUGAGUGAGAAACAUUGCGGGGGAUCCCCAAAAAGGGAUUGCUUGACCUCAAAGCACUUUGGGAAUGGAUGGAUGGAGAGUGGAGCUUAUAGCAACACGUAUAUUAAGAGGUUUGCUUAAUCGAGACUUGGUAUUGCCAAGGAUCAACAAAUAACAACAACACUUAUGUAACACAUAUUUUGUCCCCGGGUUAUACAUGUCAUUUCCUAAUUGGGUCUAUUAUAAAAACAGUAGCUGUGCCCGGCCACGCGUUGCUGUGGCAAAGUGGUGGUGGUAUUGGUUAAAAAUUGUUGUGUAAUUUUCAUUGGACGUUAUUUGCAUUUUUAUUAAUUUUAUUGUAAGUUAUAUUUUUAUUUAUUAUAUUUUAUUAUUUUCUCGUAUUCUUUUAGUUAUUUUCUGUUAUUAUAGUAUUUUAUUGUAUUAAUUUUUUAGUCUUUUUUAUUAUUAUUUUUUUGGGUUGCUAGGAGACCAAGUUGGAGGAGCUUAGCCUUCUAACUGGCAGCAAUUGGAUAAAAGCAAUUACUCCCCUCUCUCUAAUUAGGACUUUAUUUUUCUCUUCUUUUUGUUGUAUCAACCUAGAGGCGUGGAUGAUGGGUUGUGUUGUCAAAUUUCGAGGUUGGGGCGCCUGUAGUUUUGUUGUUUUGUGGGUUGCCGUGAUGCUAUCACUCUUUUAUAUAUAUAGAUGGGAAAAGUUUAUUAAACUGCAGAAACUUUGUUCUUGCAGGAGGGACAUCCUGGUAUAUCACAUUUUGCUCUAAUUUUUUCAAUGGAUAUGUUGGAUCUGUGUGCCUAGUUUGGCCCAGAUUCAUCAUCGGUUGGGUUCUGAGUGGUCUCUGGAUGUUGGUGAACUAUAACUUCCAUAAUCCAGGCUCAAUCCCUCCCAAACCACUCCAGUAUGUUCUAUUGGUCACAGGGAGUCUGUGUGCCAAGUUUGGUCCAGAUCCGUUGUUGGUCACAGUGCUUUCUGGAAGUGGGGGCCGUCUUGGGACAUACAUCUAUACAUACAGUAGAGUCUCACUUAUCCAACAUUCUGGAUUAUCCAACGCAUUUUUGUAGUCAAUGUUUUCAAUGCUUUGUGAUAUUUUGGUGCUAAAUUCGUAAAUACAGUAAUUACUACAUAGCAUUAAUGUGUAAUGAACUACUUUUUCUGUCAAAUUUGUUGUAUAACAUGAUGUUUUGGUGCUUAAUUUGUAAAAUCAUAACCUAUUUUGAUGUUUAAUAGGCUUUUUCUUAAUCUCUCCUUUUUAUCCAACAUAUUCACUUAUCCAACGUUCUGCCGGCCCGUUUAUGUUGGAUAAGUGAGACUCUACUGUACCUAUCUAUAUAUAUAAAAUGAUAAAGUUGUUUGCGCAGUGACUAUAACAACAAAACUAAACAUCCCAGAAAUACGAAAUUUGGCAACACAAUACAAAAGGCUUGCCUCCAGGUUACAACAACACAACCACACCACAAAACCACAAUCCAGACCCACAAAACUCACAACAACGCAUCAUGCGAUAAGAACACAACUAAACGCCCCAGAAAUACAAAACUUGGCAACACAAUGCAAAAGCCUUGCCUCCCAGUUGUAACAACACAACCACACCACAAAACCACACAGGACCCACAAAACUCACAACAACGCAUCGUGACUAUAACAACACAACUAAACGCCCCAGAAAUACGAAACUUGGCAACACAAUGCAAAAGCCUUCCCUCCAGGUUGUAACAACACAACCACACCACAAAACCACAAUCCGGAC